rnacentral:rRNA from 1 species
AUGACUCAUUUCAUAUACACCGACUCGCUGCCUGCUCUUGAGAUCGAUAGCAACCCAAGUGAAGCACGUUUAGAUGUGACGACGGCUGGCCAUCUCCUCGUGGAAGCGGAUAGGUACAAUGUCAAGAGGUUAAAACUGAUAUGUGAGCACAAGUAAUGCAACCACAUUGAUGCGAACAUGGUGGCAACCAGUUUGACCUUAGCUGAGCAGCAUAGCUGCAGUGGACUCAAGGAAGCUUGUCUACAGUUCCUUGCUUCUCCCACAAAUCUGGAGGCGAUGAUGGCAAGCGAUGGCUAUGGGCAUCUGAAAAGCAGUUGCCCAUCUGUCCUCAAAGAGCUGGUUGCUAGGCUACUGCCGGAUACAAUGAAAGCGGCCAAAGGAUAUUAUCAUGACCAUUUAGUAGUAUGGCUCACGACCAUCGCACAUAGGUUAGUUUAG